rnacentral:lncRNA from 7 species
AGUUGUCCAGGUUCUGGCGUCGCUGCGGGUGGCGAAACUGAAGUAGGCUAGGUCGACGGACUACCCAAGGCCAGAGAGUGUGGGCGGGAGGCCGUCGGAAUUCUGUGACUUUCUGGGGUGCAGGCAGCACAACGCUGUGCAGUGCCUGGACGGAAGCCAGACAGCAUUGCUAUGCACCGCUGGGCGGUCCCUAAGUUUCCAUGCCUGGUUGUUCUCAAGGUUUGCUCCGGAUCUGAUAGUCGCCCGUGACCCCUUUCCGCAGGUACAUGGCUUGUCUUGGGUUCGCGGUGGAACAUCCAAGUGCCAAGUUGGGUUGGCAAAACAGCUAAGGUGAAGGAGUUGGAGUCACUCGUGAGGAAUAUCUUUAGAGAACAGUCGGCUCUUCAGAACCAAAGAGCACAGGACUUUCAAGGACCCCACUAGUGUCUCGUGAGUGGUCCUGAAGCUCUCCGCCGUUUUGAGCUUAUGGCAGCGGUUUAUUGUAAGCCCUGGAGGUGCGCUGCUGUGCAAGCUGCAGGACUCUCCACAAAGUUUCUCAGGAUGACUACACAAACUUACUUAUGUGCUGCCUUUAGAGGACGUUGCCACAUUUCGCCCCUGGCGACAUUGUGGCAGAUCUUUUUCCUUCCCCAUUUCUGCUUUUUCCUGAGUUACUUGUCUUUUACCAUCGUCCCUCUUGGGUUGCACUGAUCAAUUUAGUUCCCUGUCUCCUCCUAGGGCUAUCCAGCAUGUAGUCGGGGGUCUACAAGGGACACAAGGAGAAGUGGGUUUGUUUGUUUGUUUGUUGCUUUUUUGUUUUUUUGCAGCCUGGCAGCCAGCCUCUGGAGCUCAUCUCACAUAAUGGCCUGCAAAUGUCGUUAUCAGGCACCAGAAAGCAGGGAACUCUUGCGACGCUUCGAUGUGAGGUAGUAUUUCAUUUUAUAUCUUGAGGCUUCCAAGGAUACUGGAGACUCAGACAUCAUCUCAUGCUAAGCUGUUUGAGACAAACCACAAGUGAUCCCAGUCCUUGGAAGCUGGAGGCAGGCGAUCAGAAUUCCAAGGACUACACAGCAAGUUUGUGACUAGCCUGAGAUACAGGAGACGCUGGAGGCAGGCGGAUCAGAAUUCCAAGGACUACACAGCAAGCUGGAGGCAGGCGGAUCAGAAUUCCAAGGACUACACAGCAAGCUGGAGGCAGGCGAUCAGAAUUCCAAGGACUACACAGCAAGCUGGAGGCAGGCAAUCAGAAUUCCAAGGACUACACAGCAAGCUGGAGGCAGGCGAUCAGAAUUCCAAGGACUACACAGCAAGUUUGAGACUAGCCUGAGAUACAGGAGACCUAGUCUCAGGAGUUAAAAAAAUAAAAUAAAGACAAGCCUUG